UAAGUUCUAGGGUGUGCGCGUUGUCCACAUACGUGUUUGCCGAACAACUAAUGUUACAUUGGGACAUGGGAUAACUCUUCCGGAUUGCAGGCCUUUACACUUGGUAGCAUGAACGCAGAUAUACCCGUCCCACCUGCUUUUAUCAGCGGGCCAAAACCUAUCGGACAAAUUAACGGCACUAUUAGAUCUUCA
rnacentral:other from 1 species